AACGAACGCUGGCGGCAGGCUUAACACAUGCAAGUCGAACGGGCGUAGCAAUACGUCAGUGGCAGACGGGUGAGUAACACGUGGGAACCUUCCUAGGGGUACGGAACAACUCAGGGAAACUUGAGCUAAUACCGUAUACGUCCGAGAGGAGAAAGAUUUAUCGCCCUUAGACGGGCCCGCGUCGGAUUAGGUAGUUGGUGGGGUAACGGCCUACCAAGCCGACGAUCCGUAGCUGAUCUGAGAGGAUGAUCAGCCACACUGGGACUGAGACACGGCCCAGACUCCUACGGGAGGCAGCAGUGGGGAAUCUUGGACAAUGGGCGCAAGCCUGAUCCAGCCAUGCCGCGUGAGUGAAGAAGGCCUUAGGGUUGUAAAGCUCUUUUGGCAGGGACGAUAAUGACGGUACCUGCAGAAUAAGCCCCGGCAAACUUCGUGCCAGCCGCCGCGGUAACAC
rnacentral:rRNA from 1 species